CUUGCUGAAGCACGCACGGCAAG
rnacentral:misc_RNA from 1 species